GAUGAAGAACGCAGCGAAAUGCGAUACGUAAUGUGAAUUGCAAAUUCAGUGAAUCAUCGAGUCUUUGAACGCACAUUGCGCCCCCUGGUAUUCCGGGGGGCAUGCCUGUCCGAGCGUCAUUGCUGCCCUCAAGCACGGCUUGUGUGUUGGGCCCCGUCCUCCGAUCCCGGGGGACGGGCCCGAAAGGCAGCGGCGGCACCGCGUCCGGUCCUCGAGCGUAUGGGGCUUUGUCACCCGCUCUGUAGGNNCGGCCGGCGCUUGCCGAUCAACCCAAAUUUUUAUCCAGGUUGACCUCGGAUCAGGUAGGGAUACCCGCUGAACUUAAGCAUAUCAAUAAGCGGAGGA
rnacentral:misc_RNA from 1 species